UUACGGCCAUAUCACGCUGAAAAGAUUGGUUCUCGUCUGAUCACCGAAAGCAACGUCAAGUCUGGUCAGUACUUGGAUGGGUGACCGCUUGGCAAUACCAAGUGCUGU